ACGACCUUACUUGAACAGGAUCUGUUCUAUAGGCUCGUACCUCUGUAUUCGUGAUUCCUAAGAAGACAGAAACCCAGCGUGAUUAACAGAGACUAUGGCGGUUGUCUGACAGACA
rnacentral:snoRNA from 1 species